rnacentral:lncRNA from 1 species
UUUUUUUUUUUUUUUUUUUUGCAUCAAUCUGCUUUUCUACUGUUCAUCCACAUGGUUGAUUUUCUUCACAGAUUCACAGCAUACGUGUGUUUGUGUUUUAGGAGUGUCUGCAUAUAUGUGGGGGGUGGUGUUGAUAUGUAGAAGUUUUUUUAACCUUUGCUUUUUGUCAACAGUCCGAGUUUGUGUCUACCAAGCCUUCUUUUUACUAUUUUAAGCUAAUUAGGUUUGUGUUUCUCUCACCCAUGUAUACUUUACAUCAGAGACAAUGUAAAGUAUGUUUGUGCCCAUGAUGUCACUGGUUGCUUGCGGCUUCAUGUGGGUGCUAGGUGUUGUUUCAGUCCACGUGGGGUUUUUUUUUCCUCUCUUUUAAUAGUUAUUCAAUCUCAUGUAAGCAGUUAAUGCAAAUAUUGUUAGCAUUACAGGUCAUGCAGUGCUGUAACAUUUUUUUAAAUGUUGCACCUACUUUACAAUUAAAACAUUGGUCACUCAUACUUGAAUUUUGCCCACACAGCCAUUUCUUUAUCUUUGUAUUAAAGCCAAUUCAUUUUUUUUAAAUGAAGCCUAGCCCUUUGACCUUAGUACAUUUUUUAUUUCCGAAAAUAAACUUUUUUUCAACCAAUCUGAGAAUGGAAACAGAAAGAAAAGUUUUUGCACCUUUAGAAACGUAAUAGUCCCUCUUGGAAAAGGAAAUCUAAUUUUGCUUUGAGCCCUUUAAAAGUUUUAGGAAGCACAAGGAGAAUAAACUACACUUUUCAGUGGUUUUUAAAGAUUAUUUCAAAUGUGUGAGACCUAAUUGAGCAACUUUUGUUUAAUUUGUCUUGUUUGUAGCAUUAAAAGCAAUCGGUUUUUAUUUAUUUAGAGGGACAUUUUUGGCUUGUACUUUUCAGUCUCAUUGUGCAUGUAAAUUCUUUGAGAAGAAUACUCAUCCCUUGUGAUAUCAUGGGCCACUUUUAGUCUUUCAUUUGAACCCUGACUUUGAGUUAUUUGCUAUGUCUGUGUUCUAACUAAACACAGUUUCUUUUUUUGAACAUAACACUGCAGAAUGUGGGGAGAAGUAGAGGGUGGUUAUUCUGCUUUCUGUAAGUUUUAUGAAGAUUCUCAGCUGACUUAUCCCAUGAGGUGAUUCUUUUUUCAUUUCAGCCCACAGUAACACGUUUUCGUUAACUUUGGUGAUCUUCCAUGCAGUUUGCAAUGUGCCCUUGUAAGCCACAAGUGGUUUUGCAUUGAUAUUUUUAAAUCUAAAAUAUUAAGACGCUGGUGACAUUGCUCUUUCUGUAAAGAAAGCCAAGAUUCUAGACCUUACCAAAAAUCUGAUAUCCUGUUCGUUUUGCCCAUUUAUGCCCAAAUGGUGUAAUGCAAGACUCAAGACUUUUCAAUGUAAUGUAUAAAAUGAGUUGUGCAUUACUUGAUUCAUUUGGGGACCAGAAGCAAAUAAUAUCAAUCAGCCAGAACUGUAAUAUUGAAUUAGUCUAUCUUUUUCUUUCAUUCACUCUAUCACAUUUGCAUUAGCCAAAGAGAUAAGAACAUUAGUAAUUCAUAUGUGUAAACAACCCAGAAGUGAAUAUUCAAUCAGUGAGCCAAAAAGCAAUAAACAACUCAAGCAUGGGAAAUCCUGCUAACAGUGGGAAGUCUGAUAUAGAAAAAAAUAUAUAAAAAGCAUUAUCUUCAAAUAUGAAAGAUUAACUUGUAUCUACUGUAAAUAUGUAUUAUCAGCCUUAUCUGCUUUUAUACACACUGUGUGUGUACUGCAGUGACCUUUUAUAAACCGAAAAAAUGGUUGAUUUAAUAAUUUGUUAUGUAAAUACAAAGUUGUCUAUAAAUUGGAAAAUUUGAUGCCAGAUGGCUUCACAAUAUACAAAUGUGUUUUGUAACAUCAUGCCUUUAUGGAUUAAGUCUAAAUACACUGGAUUGUCUGUGUAGAAGAGUAGCAAUCUACAUUUCACCUGCAUAUCAAAUGGAUAUUUUUGUCCAAAUGGUUAUACUUUAGGAAAAGAAAAUGACCUGAACAUUUUCAGUGUGAAACAAAUAUGGUUUUGAAUUCACCAAAACUUCUUUUCAUGUUCAAGAGUCUGUUCAGUUCCACACUAAAUGACUCGUAUUAAGAGAUUUCCAUAGCAGAUUCAUGGGUUUGGGGCUGGGAUCUGCCUAGGAAGCCUCCCCAAACUGAAAUAUUCUAUUGUAGAGAUAGGUUGUGCAUCUUAAUUUCUAAAUCACAGGCAGGGGAAGAACCACAGUCUUCUUAUUGCUUUUUAAUUUAUUCUUCUCUUCUUUGUUUCCAUACAUCAUGGAAAACACCACACAGGCAAGCAGGGCCUGGUUCUCUUGCGCUAAGGUGGCUACAGAGUGUCACCCCGACUCAGGGCUGCUCAACACCACUGACAUUUUGGGUGAGCUCAUUCUUUGCACAGGGGCUGUCCUGUGCAUUGUAGGAGGUUUGGCAGCCUCCCUUAGCUCUACUCACCAAAUGCCAGGAGCAUCCCUUCUAAAUUGUGACAAUCAAAAUUGACUCCAGACAUUGCCAAAUAUCUCUGGGGGUGUGAGGUGGGGCGGGGGUGGGAGACAAAGUGAUAUUUGAAAACCACUGCAUUAGUAGAAUCAGUGAUGGAACAUAUGUCUGGGUGAAAUGUAGACAUGUUUGGCAUGCUGUUAGCAACAGGAAACUGAUUCCUAGAUCAAAGUCUGAAACAAAACCCAUGCCAAAGGAGUGCUUCUCAGUCCCUGGUUAAGGAAGUGAAUACAUUGGCUUCAGUUCCAUUUUGGACACAUUUGUCACUUUUGAUCAUAAGACUGACCCAGGACAAACAUCUUUGGAGAACUCCCAGGUAGGGCGAAGAGGAAUUACUGCCAUCCUGUGGUUGGGAGUUUGGGAGAAGACUGAUGGCUCACUUGGGUGGAAGGCUUCCCAGUGAUAGUGUAGCUGUCUCCUUGAGUCCAGAUGAGGAGUUUGGUUAAGAGGAUGUGUAUGUAUGUACGUUUAUAUGUAUCUAUUUCUUCAGCUCUCUCUAGUAGCCUGGUUCAGGUAUUAGCAGUUUUUGUGGGAUCCUCUUUUAAGUUCUGACAGAAACAGCUCUGUAGAUCCUGGAGAUAUCAUUGUGCAUUUAUUCAUUCAGUAGAUAUUUACUGAGUCCCACUCUAUGCCACACCCUAUCUGCAGCAAAGUGAGUAAGACACCUGUUUUCUGCCCUCACAGAGCUGCCUAAGGAGGAGGCCACUUAAGCAUGUGCAGCAUUUCUUAAAAGUAAAAUUUUUUAAAGAUCUGGGCCCACCAUAAUUCUUCAUAUUACAUUUAUUGAGCCAGUUCCGUUCCAGUCCUGAGAGGUAUGUAUAUAACCAUCUUUGUGUAAAGUCACUUUAACAGUCAUGAAGAAAUGCUGUGUGGUGCACUUACAGUGUCUGCCAACAACAUGAUGCCCUAUUUCUUUCACACAAAUUAGGGCUCUAUUGGUAGAGCAAUAAUGUUUCUCCUUUGGUGAUAAGAGGUUGGGAAUGUUGGAAAUCCCAAAGCAUUUUGUGAGAUUGUUAGAAAACAAGGCCUGCUUCCUGGAAUGCACAGGUAGGUAUAGGUCUGGUCCAGCCACUUGGCACCAUAUCCCUUCAUCUUACACAUCUCACUGAAAAAGGAAGCUUCAGAGGAGCAUGCACGAUGUCAGAGGUAUCAGGUGAGCACCAAAGGUUAUGGAAGCACAGGAACAUGGGACCACGGGAGUCAGGCCAUCUGGCUACAAGGACCUCUGCCCCACAGCAGGGGAGACCACAAUAGCCUUUCAUCAUCCAUUCCGGCCGGUGAUUAUACACAUGCCCUGCAAAGUAUUCCCAACCACAAUUAGUCACCUCCUACAUUCAAUGAACAUUGAACUUAAGGGCUUUUCAAAGCUAAUUAACUGGGGUGGGGUUUUUUUUGUUUUUUGGGUUUUUUAAAGGCGGAACCAAUGCAAUAACAGGCAUCCAAUCCUAUGAUCCAGACACCAACAAAUAGCCCUUCUCUCUAGACAGGGUCUUGUACACAGGAAAUGGAGCCUCAACAGGGAGGCAGCCUGUUAUAAUGGUUAUAAAUUGUUCUUCUGAGGGGGUCGUCUAUAUUCCCAUCUAGGCUAUGCCACUAACUAGUUGUUUGACUUUGGGCAGGUUACUUAACCUAUCUGUGUGUAGCUUCCUCAUCUAAAAAAAAGAGGGAUAAUAACAACACUUCCUUCCUGGGGUUGCUUAGAGGAUUGAAUGAGAUAACGCAGAUAAACUCUUAGUGCCUGGCACAUAGCGGGCACUCAGGGACUGGUGAUUAAGCUGCAGUUGGAAAGAUUCAGAUUAGAAAAGGGAACUUGCUGCCAGGGAAAGCGGUUGUCAAACACAAGGAGGAGCCCUGUGUAGAAUUGCUGUCUCCCCAGGAAGACUUUAAAGGUGGAGUGGUUUACCUGUCCCGAGGCCUUUUCUGGUGCUUUCCAUUUAGCCCAGAGUUUCAGAAUCUGCUACCUGGGGUAUUCCUUAGAAUUCCAUUGUCUGUAGUGCUACAUGCAGAAAUGGACCAGCAAAAUGAUCUCCCAAUAAACUAGUCUGGAAAAUGAUUUCUCCAAGAAGUGUAUAGGCAGCACAGAAACAGAACUUCUAACCUUCAGCCACAAAGUGAAGUUAGAACUGGCCCUUCGAAUAAGUAGCUCAAGCUAUGAAAAGUUAAAUAAGUUAUAAGCAACUAAAUCAGGGAAUGCAAAGUUUAGUCCAGGGAAAAGUGUAUUUGACCUGACCGAAAUUCAGUGUCCUCGUUCUUGCCACUGACUGGCUUCAUGAUUUAGGACAAAUCACUGAUAAGACGCCUAGGUUGUGACUCCAGCCAUUCAGUGGCUAUUGUGACCUCAGGCAAAUUACCCUCUAAGGGCUUUAGUUUCAUCAUCUGAAAAUAAGGGCAAUAGGAUCAUAAAAUUGUUUGAGGAUUACACAGAUUAAUCUGUGUGAAGCACUUAGAAGAGUGUGGGCUUAGAGGAAAUGCUAUGCAAGUCGAGUUACUCUAUUGCUAUCGCUGUUAAUAAUAGUGGUGGAGCCUCACUCAGUUGCUUCAUCUCCAGAUUCAAGCAAACAACACAGCCCUCGCUUAUGUUAAAGAAGGAACCAGUCUUCUGUGGGGUACUCAUUUAAGGGGGUCUUGCUGUUCACCUUGGACCAUUUAUUUCUCUUCCCUGAUUUCAACACAGGUACUCUUGAGAGGAGUAAGACUUUGAACUGAGCAAGUGGCCGGAGGUUCCCAAAAGAUUUGAGAAUAUGGAGGGUGAGAAGAUGUUCAUAACUAUCCUAGGAUGAGCUUCCUCAGAAGACUGGCACGAAAAUAAAAAGAGAUGAUACAUUGAGAUAUGCUUUCAGAAGAAGAGAGGAAAGAAUAAAUAAUCUGAUAGUAUAUUUCAGUGCUAUUAAGGCUUACUAUUUAUUUCUUUUUUCUUUUUCCCUUUUACUGCUGCACCUGGAGCAUAAGGAAGUUCCCAGGCCAGGGGUUGAGUGGGAGCUGUAGCUGCAGGCCUACACCACAGCCACAGCCAGCCAGAUCUGUGACCUACACUGCACCUUGCAGCAAAGCCAGAUCCUUAACCCACUAAUAAGCAAGGCCAGGGAGUGAACCUGCAUUUUCACGAAGGCUAUGUCGAGUUCUUCACCCACUGAGCCACAGUGGGAACUCCCUACUUAUUUCUUAAUUGGAAGUUGCUGACUAAAGACUGUACAAAAAAGUCUAGGUACAGUAUUGAAGUAUAUAGAAACUAAUUUUCAGACUGUGAAGCCUUAGGCACAUCUUGUUAAAACAGGGGGCAGAAUUCGUUAAAACACUGAUGAAGGGAGUAGGUUUAUCUGAACACUUUUUUGCCAGGGGCAGAGCCUCUCUGGGUCUUCCUGUCUUUCGCUCCCUGGGUGGCUGCGGAAGAGUGCUUGUAGAGAACGUGGCCCGGAUGACUGAUUGCCCGAGGCUUUGGUCCCCAAACUGUGGCUGAAUCCCUCCGGAACAUGGCUGUCCUCGCCAAGUUAAUCUUAAAUAGCUUUCAUGGUCAGGGAAGAUAUCCUUAGGAAAUCUCUGAAAUCUGUUACAAGCUCUGUUCCCCUUUUCCAAUCAAAUGGGGAUUAUCUAGAAUUGGUGGUUUCCUUCAAAUUUCAAAACAAGCAUAGAGGUCCAGGAGCCUGUGAUUUCAGGCUGAGUCUCACUGUUCUGGUUUAUUUGGCACAGAAGGGGAAGCAAAAAUUCACAAGAGCUGGAAAAGAAAGCAUGCAAAAAUUGGAGUGGAGUAACACUGGCUAUCUCUGGACAAGCCAUCUAUCUUAGCAAAAGUCAGCAAAGCUGAAGAGAGACUAUUCCCCUAUACCCACAUUUCUCUGGGCUUUUCAAGCUCUUCUCAAGUCUCCUGGGUGAUUAUGGAGCAGCUGAGGCAUCCUGGGAGGAGGAGAAAGUAUGUGCACCAGGUCUGUGCUUCAUAAAGCAAGCGGGUCCGCCAAGAGAUCAGGCCAUAUAGUGAUGGCCAUUGUGAGGAGCUCAUCGCUUUCUCAACAGAAAACAAAAUAAGAAAGAGAUGUGGUUCCUGCCUCAAAGAAUAGCUUUCCUUGCUCUAAAGUGGUAGUUUCCAAACUUUAUUAUCAGAAAUUCCUAGCAGUAAAUUAAAAAUAAAAUUGAGGACUUACUAUACACACGUGUGUUUGUGUGAGUGUGUGUGUGUGUGUGUGUGUACUACUGAAUUAAUACACUAUGUGUGUUAUAAAACAGCCAGGGAGUUCCCGUCCUGGCACAGUGGUUAACGAAUCCGACUAGGAACCAUGAGGUUGCGGGGUCGAUCCCUGCCCUUGCUCAACGAUCCGGCGUUGCCUUGAGCUGUGGUGUAGGUCGCAGACGUGGCUCGGAUCCUGCAUUGCUGUGGCUCUGGCGUAGGCUGGCAGCUACAGCUCCGAUUCGACCCCUAGCCCGGGAACCUCCAUAUGCCGCAGGAGCGGCCCAAGAAAUGGCAAAAAAAAAAAAAAAAA